CUCACGAGUCACGUCCCUUUCCCUGCGGUGACCCUCCUCUCACGUUGGAAUCCACAAACAUCCACAUCCACAUGACGAAUCCCUCAAUCGCUCGUGGUAAGAUCGAUUUCUCAACUCCUGCAGUCGCCUCCGGCUUUGGCGAUCCGUCCUUCUAUCUCUUCCAUCUGCUUCCGAUCUACUCGAUAUGGAACAGAUCCGUCUCUUUGCUCGGGUGAAAAGGUUUUGGUGAGCCCCAUCGGUCAGAUGCGGGCGCAGAUGGAGGUCUGGAAGGGUGCCGCUGCCGCCUAUGGUGGUCCAGAAGGGCGCCGUUGCUGCUGCAGGUGCCGGACGGAGGCAGCGCCGCGCUGCCGCCAAGGGACGGUUGAGAAGCCACCGAGGUGGAGAACCCAUGGCUGGUAUCGACGGCGUCAUCUUCUAUAUUCUUGAUCUUCUCCUCUUCUUCAUCUUCUCGGUGCAUGCUAUGGUUAAUUCCUGAUCGGUUUCUUGAUGCUUUUUUUUGCGAGGUCUUGAUGCUUUUCUAUGGGAUUCUUGAUGUGGAAUCGAUUUCUUCCUAUUCGUGGCCGGUAGCCCUGCCGAUCCGCAUUGCCCAUUGGACAAGCCGGGCAUCCUGACUAGCAGCAGCGGCUCCGAUCCUCUCCUCCCUAGCAUUGUCCUUGCAAGUUCUCUUCUCCUCUCGAGUUUCUUUAGAUGAUCACGUCCUUUGUGAGUGCACACUAAUGUCGUUUAAGCAGCCUGCGAAAGUGCUCCUAUUAGGUAGUCCCUGCGUGCUCUGCAUAAAUAUGAAGUUCAGGUUUUUCUCCCGCUUUUAUUAUCGCCCGCAAGUACUGUGGUUAGUGUGCAUGGAACGAAACACACAGCAAGAACUUCACAAACCAAUUUCUUAUCCUUCCAUUGGCCUCCACUAUUUUUCUUUUAUUUUUUGGUCUGCAGGUAUACACUGUUAAACUGAAGCCAAAUACUUACCAUAUCAUUAUCAACAACUCCCUUCAGUUUGGACAUUAUGGUCUAUGAAGUUACAUGGAUUGACAACACGGACAUAGCUGAAGAUUGCAAACAAAAAGUUGAUGAUCACAGUUGAGAUUUCAGACCACCAUCGCCUAUUCCUCACCUACCCAAUCAACACUUUACAUUUCUAUGUUUUAUAUAUGUACACCCUCAAAUCCAUAAAAAGUGUCGUCCAUUUUGUACCGACAUUUUUUAUGGAUUGGAAAGAGUAUAUUAGCUACGUCUAGACCUGAAGAAUCUUUGCAUUAGUUGUGUUAAUUAUUGAAAAUUUAUGUUUGCUGCUUUA